UCACAGAUCCACAUGGCUGGGGAGGUCUCAGGACUUACAAUAAUGGUGGUAAGCCUUUCCUCACAGGGUGGCAGGAGAGAGAAUGAGUGCGAGUGAAGGGGGGAGCCCCUUAUAAAACCAUCAGAUCUCCUGAGAACUCACUUACUAUCAUGAGAACAGCAUGAGGGAAACUGUCCCCAUGACUCAAUUAUCUCCACCUGGUCUCACCUUUGACAGGUGGAGAUUAUCACAAUUUAAGGUGAAAUUUGGGUGGGGACAGAGAGCCAAACCAUAUCAUAUGUGUAUAUGCAUGUAUGUAUUAUGAAGGGGGGGGGUUAUUAGGAAAAUUGGCUCAUUAUGAAGGCUGAGAAGUCUCACAAUAGGCUGUGUGCAAGCUAGAGAACUGGGGAUGCUAGUAGCAGGGCUCAGUUCAAGUCCAAACAUCUGGAAACCUGGAGGGGCCACUGAAGUAAGGACUGGAGUCCAAAUACCAGAGAGCCUGAUGUGCAAGGGCAGGAGAAGAGCAUACCCCAGCUUCAGGAGACAGAGUGACUAAUUCACCUUUCCUCUUUUUAUUCUAUCUGGUCCCUAGUCGAUUGGAUAGUGCCUGACCAUGUUAAGGGUUGAUCUUCCCCAUUGAAUCUGCUCAGACCUCUCACACACCAAUCUCCUCUGAAAACACUGUCACAGACACACCCAAAAAUAAUGCUUUACCAGUUCUCUAGAUAUUUUUAAAUCCAGUCAAGUUGAUACAUAAUCACCACAGCAUUGAAGAGGGAAAUUUCUGAUUCUACCUUGACAUGAAUCCAAGAUUCAUUGAUCAUUAGCUACUAGAACCUGGACAAGAUACAUAACCUAUCUUUGUUUAUAGGUAUAAUAACUGUACCCAUUUCAUGGAGUUGUCAGAGCAGAGACCCAAAGACAGCAGUCAGGAUGUGGAGGCAUGUAUUUACAUCACAUAAUUACAAACCGUAAUUAAGGGCACAACUGGAGAUUCUGCGGUUUAUGCUGGACUGUUGAAGUCAUCUCUGAGACAGUAUUUAAGAAUGAAUUAUCCUGGCUUAAGAAAUAAUGUUAGAUUUAAUGAAUUUUCCUAACGGAAACUUUAGGCUAGGCUGAUCCAUGUAGUUUGACGGUUGGGAAACAUAUGCAUUCAUGUUGUCAAGCAUACAUAAAGGAAGUUAAUCCAAAAAAAAAAAAAAAAAAGAAGUUAAUCCUAGUACUGACAUAAGGUGCAUGACAGACAAGAUUUAGAUUGAAGUGAUGGGGAAAUGUUUUUCUUUUUCCAGGUCUCAGGUAAUUGAGCACUUACUCUAGAGAAGGUAUUAAUACAAAUAAUGGUGUCAAGUAGUAGAGGGAGUACCACUCAGGAGGAAAUGCCCAGUGGAGUGGCCUAAGCCUGUUGACCUGAGGAUGCUAUAGCUAGGGUCCAAGUUUAAGUCCUCUGUUUUGUAAUUACUUUGUGUUAUUACCAAGCCUCUGAAAAAUACCUAUAUGUGUUGUGCCUGGUCAUCUAUCACUCAGAAUGAAAGAAAAUGCCAGCACCAGUGAGAGGGACAAUAUGAUACAGAGAAAGCAGCAUUGGUCUGUAGGGCCCCAGUCUCAAGAAAAUAGGAGGUGACCUGUGGAAAGAGGUGCUAAUGGUCACAUCUGGCUGAGAUGCUGGCAAAACAAGAGAGUAAAUCUGAGGAAUGUGUAAGGAUUCCUUAGGUAGACUCAAGAAGCCUUAGGGAUAGGAAUCUAGAAGAAGACUAGGAAUCUGUUAGAUUAGGUUAUAAUGAUUUGAACAUUUUAAGUGUGAGCUUAGAAAUUGUUAAAGUAUAGAAUAUUUGUUUAACAGCCCUACCGCUAUCAUUAUCAUCCUUAGUAUGACCUGGCUGCAGAAAUCUGUUUUCUUUUUAGAUUUUUAAAUUUUAUUUGUAAGUUUAUAUUAAAUUAUAUCAGUGCAAGCACCAGAAUAGUUGACAAGACAUCACAUCUAUCCAAGAGUCUCAGCUAUUUUGGUGGCUUUUCUCAGGUUUCUGACAUUCACAGCUUCUCUCAGUUCUUCCGCUUCAGCCCCCUUGUCCUGACCCUGUUGCCGCCUCUUCUGCCUGGAGUACUGCCGCUUUGUUGGCAGAGUUAUUUCCUGAUAGUGAGUACUGCUGCCACCACCAAUCUGGCCUCUAGGAGAAGAAAUUGUUUCUUCUAAUCACCCAGAGCAUAAAUAAGACCAGGCUGUAGUUUUUUAUGACAUUACUAAAUGUUACAAGUACAAACUGAAGCUGCUACUUACAUGUGUUUAUUAUUCUUAAAACCUCAGAAUUCCAAAUCAUGAUCCGAAUCACUGCUUCAUCCCUCACAGGCUGCAGAUAGCAGAAGCACACCGAGUUGCUCCAUAGCAAUGGGAUUCUUCUGCCCCAUAACAAUUGCCAUGUCUCAACUGCCCAUGUCCCAUCCCUGUCCUCGGCUUCUGUGCCCCAUCCUCCCAACUGAAAACAGAUUUUCUUUUUUCUUUCAUGUCAUGUGUUGCUUCAUGUAUUAGCUCAGUAUUAAACAUGUUCUAACAUAAUUGACAGAAUAUCCAUUUCCUUCAGAAGAAAACCCCUGUUCCCUUUCUCGGCAUGUGGCUGGAAUGAGACAUCACAAUAGUUGAUGUUAGGUUUCCAGAAGUCUGGCUUAAGAAAUCUGAAAAAGCGGCCGGGCACGGUGGCUCACCGCCUGUAAUCCCAGCACUUUGGGAGGCCGAGGCGGGCGGAUCACGAGGUCAGGAGAUGGAGACCAUCCUGGCUAACACGGUGAAACCCCGUCUCUACUAAAAACACAUUAGCCGGGCGUGGUGGCGGGCGCCUGCAGUUCCAGCUACUCGG
rnacentral:lncRNA from 1 species